rnacentral:rRNA from 1 species
CCUACGGGAGGCAGCAGUGGGGAAUAUUGCACAAUGGGCGGAAGCCUGAUGCAGCGACGCCGCGUGAGGGAUGACGGCCUUCGGGUUGUAAACCUCUUUCAGUAGGGAAGAAGCGAGAGUGACGGUACCUGCAGAAGAAGCGCCGGCUAACUACGUGCCAGCAGCCGCGGUAAUACGUAGGGCGCAAGCGUUAUCCGGAAUUAUUGGGCGUAAAGAGCUCGUAGGCGGUUUGUCGCGUCUGCCGUGAAAGUCCGGGGCUCAACUCCGGAUCUGCGGUGGGUACGGGCAGACUAGAGUGAUGUAGGGGAGACUGGAAUUCCUGGUGUAGCGGUGAAAUGCGCAGAUAUCAGGAGGAACACCGAUGGCGAAGGCAGGUCUCUGGGCAUUAACUGACGCUGAGGAGCGAAAGCAUGGGGAGCGAACAGGAUUAGAUACCCUGGUAGUCCAUGCCGUAAACGUUGGGCACUAGGUGUGGGGGACAUUCCACGUUUUCCGCGCCGUAGCUAACGCAUUAAGUGCCCCGCCUGGGGNGGUACGGCCGCGAGACGAACUACAAGAAGUAGACGCGNGAGACGUGCCGACGACGACGACGAGGGAGGAGG